GUGAAAGAUGGCACAACGCAUAACUGAUGACAAAGGUAGAAUGCAACAGAUCUAUCCUUAUUCCAGUCAAGUGGAACAACUGUGAAAAAGAUAAAGAUCCUAACCUCACAAGGUUCUGUUCAUCUGGAAAAGAGGAAAGGAUGAAAGAAAGAAAAAUCACUGAGAAGUGCCUAUCAUAUGAAACAUGCAGUAUCUUACUUCCUUGUCCUGUAAUCCCUAAAGAAAGAGAAAUUUGGAUUUUAUUUAGUAAGCUCCUUUAUAAAUAUUGAAAUGCUGCUAUCAGUCACCUGAUAGCCAGGUUGAACAGCCUCAGCUCUUUCAAGCUGUCCCCAUAGGAGAGGUGUUCCAUCCUUUGGAUCAUUUCACUGGCCAUCCUCUGGGCAAGCUUCAACAGGUUCAUGUCUCUUCUGUACUGAGGACUCCUCAUCUGGAUGCAGUACUGCAGAUCAAAGCUGGGCAGCAGGAAGAGCUUUCCUCCUGUGUAAAUGUUCUAGUUUUCAUCUGGAGGUAUCAGAGCUUCCUAGGAAAUGCCAGACUGAAAUGGUUUGGAUGUGAAAAGCGUUAUUUGGUUAUUAUCCAGACAGUAGCAAGCCAUUACCUAAAUUGUUCUUUUUCUGGGGAUGCAAUGAAUGCUGAAAUCUUGGCAAUUUCCUUUCCAAACACACUGAAGUGGACUAAGUUUUGGACUAAAUACUGUUGUGAGCAGAUUGGAGACCCCGAUAAAAGGAAUUAAGAAGAAAAGUUGCUCUGGCUCUUCAUCUCUGUAAUGUGCUUAAUUGAAAUUUUGAAGUCUGCCACUCCAGACUGGUUGCUUGUUUCCCAGACACAGUCAUUCUUAAGUCCCCUUUUAACUUGUUCUCCUCAGCAGGAUCUCUUCUUCUCACUAAUUGCCAGCAGUGAAAGUCUACAGAUGCAAACUGAUGAGGAAGAAAAGAUUUUCAAAUGAAAGUGACUAAACAAAUUCCACACAUUGUAGAGUGGAAGGGAAAUGAAGCCUUUCUUAUUUGUGUUUGUUUAUUUUAAUAAGAACGUUAUCUGCUAAUUCUAUUGGCAGUAAUCUGACAUCACAAGAAAUGUUUCUGCAGAUUCCUGUAAUCCCAGUUCUCCUCUCUGGGAUUUCUUAAACAAGGGGUGAACAACUGGAAAUCAGCAUGGCAGCUAGAACUUCUGGGUUCAUUUUAAACAGUAUGUAUUUUCAUGUUUUUUUCAAGCUAUGACUCACUCCAUUGCUUGAGUAGGAUGGCCCCCACUGAUGUGGAUCGGUAAGGACAAGAUGUAUGGCUUCAAGAAUGUUUGUUUUAUCCCAGAUUGUGUUAAAUAUUUGUAAUAUACAGUGAUAAAUAUUUAAAAGUGAUUGUACAUUUGAAGUCUUCUGCGGGGAGAAUUUCUAACAGCAUUUGGAUUUUGUUUUUUUGUUUUGUUGCUGUUGUUUGUUGUUUUGGUUUUGUCUUUGAAAAUUUGAAUAAUUACUGGCCAAUAUCUAUAUCUAUUAAUUGAAGUCGUAGGCAAAAAUGGUAUUUUUUCUAAAUAAACAUAGCAUUUGGCUGUGCUCGGCUGACAUACUUGCAGUGAAACACAGCAUUAGACCCAAGUACUAUGUUUUACAGAGAGCUGUAAUAUUACAGGGGUAAACAGAUAUCAAAAGAUAGUAAGACAUCUUUUACAGAAUCAAAUUUUGCUUAUUUCCAGUAUAUUAUUAUAUGUUACGUGUAUAUUAAUCAAUAUCUCUGUGGUGCCGCACUCUUAAAGCAAGACCAUAAUCCACAGUUAUUGAGGAGCUUUGUAGCAUUGAAGGUUUUAAACCAGGAUCCUUAUUUAAAAUUGUAAGACGUGAUUGCUGGAUGAAAGUUCAGGAGAAUAAGGAGUAAGAGUAGAUAUUUGCUAUUCUUCUGCAUGUAAUGUUCGUGAGAACAUUAUCAAUCACUGGGUCAAGUUUCAUUUUAUUUCUAAAAUGGGUUCAAGAAAGAACUGCAGGAGUGAUUUGAAGUCAAAAAUAUCUGCUUUUCAGCAAGAAAGCAGAGGAAAACUGAAAUGUCUGUUUCUAGUAAUGAUUGAAGAGACUCAAAUCAUUUUUCAGUUAGUAUACAAACUUGCAAGAAAUCCUAGGAAAAAACUUAGGUCUAGUUCAGAUCAAAAACAGAUUGUUUGCAACAUAGGCUGUAAUUGCUUACUGAGGCUUCUUUACUGGGGAUAUUACAAUUGAGAUCUGUGAAAUCAACUUUGAAAGAUGUCUUAGCCGAACCAAAACUGCUAGAUUCUUUGCAAUUGCAUGAUAUAAUUUUCUAAAAAUCACAGCUUUCUGUGUUUUACUCAGUCAAGUUGAGAAGCUCUUACUGUACAUUGUUCUUGUUCUACUGCCAAAUUAUUUUCUAUGUCUAUUUUUCUGUGACAGGAUAAUCACUUUCUCUUCCACAAGCUGAACAAACUGAGAUGCUUUAAAUGUUGCAUUAUAAUUAGAAUGAGACCUUUUUGGAUUAUUUUUGUUUUUCCACGCUCACUUUGAACUGUUUGUGUGUUUGAAAACAAGACACAAAUACUAUAUUUCUAAUACAAGUCUUGCUAGCACUCUGUGUGCAUUCUUCAGCUUUAAAUUCCCCUCGUUGUAUUACCAAAGAUUGCAUUAGACCUUCAGCAGUGGCAAGCAUAUCCUGCAAUGCUUAUAGCUGAUGACUCAUAAAUCCUAUUUUCUCAGAAUGAGUCUUUUGUCAUAGCUUGAAUGUUUUGCUUACAUAUAUAUUUCGCAUAAUGCUUCUGUUUUAGAGCCUAUUUAUUGGCAAUCAGUUCAUUCUUUAGUGGCUCUCUUCCUUGUUUGUUAUUCUUCAAAACUUUUGUAGGUAUGACAAUAAUUGCUUGUAAUCAUAUUGCAUUCUGUGUUGCUAAUGAAAAUACCAGAAGAGCAAUUCUCCGAAAGGGAUUCCUUGAAGGAUCUAUUAUUGGUUCUCUAUCACAAUUUCUAUUUGGUUCAACUUGAAAUCAAUGCAGGGUGCACUGAAAGUCAUGCCUCCUACUGAUUCCCAUGGGAACUACAACAGAUACAAAGAUAACAACAACAUUUGAAAGAGUGCACUCUUAGCUACAAAACAUUAAUUUUCAACAUAGUCGCUGCCAUUAGCUAGGCAUUUUUUGCCAGCUGUGAGCAAGAACCUGCAUGGUGUGCCCACAAAAAUCUGUAUGAAUGUCUGGAAUGUGGCUUGUCUGUUUCACUGUUGCCCUGGCUGAAACAAACUCAUCAUCUCACUGUGCUCACAUCUACAGUUUGGUCUCAAUGUUUAGCAAGUGUCAAAGUAUGUCAGUGGGUGCCAUUUUUUCUAUAUGGAGGAAUUCAGUGAUAUAUCUUUGCUUCACAUGUUGUUCUGUGUUGGAUGCCAUUUUGUCAGAUUAGCCUUCUGCUACCAUCUGUCAUACAGCAAUAAAAUGUAAUGGGGUACUGGUGGAAAGGUUCAGCCUCUACUGCCAUGGUGUACUGACAAUAGCUUCAUCUGACCUCAGGGACCAAUAUAAUAAAACAGGAGGCAUGACUUUCAGAGCAGCCCUUGAAUUUUAUUGCGUGAUGUUUUAAGUCAAUUUACAAGCUUUCUUUAGGUAAGUUAAAUUAUCUGGAUAGUGGAAAUUAGCAGUGAUUGUUUUAGCAAUCCAAUAUGGUGUUGAAAACAAGAAAUCAAAGUACAAGUUAACCAGAAAAGUUUUGAUCACAGAGAACUGCAUUAAAAGCCUUUAUUUUUAUGAUGAUUAUCUCUUGCGGAGUCCCAAAUGGAUAUUUCCAUUUCUUCAUUUCACAUCCAUCAGGACAGUCACUUAGUGGUUUCGUGUGGACACAUUUUUGGUAUUGAAUGGGAUGGAUAUUAUUCAUACUCACUGCAGAAUCAUACUGGUAAGUGAACAUCUAAAAUGUUUUCCUCAUUAGGACAAUUUCCUGAAAAGAAGCAGAACAGUCUUGUGAUCGCUUGGCUUAUAUCUGAGAAGAAGUGAUGUUAAAGAACACUUAUCAGAGAAUCAUCAAGUCCUAUCAUCUCUCUGUAGUUCAGAAAACAAGAAGGUACAAAUAUUAAAGAGCCUCCAGAGGUUCCCAGAACCUUUUAUAUAGGUAAAACUCUUUCCCUAGAUUCUCUUGCUAUGACUGAGACUGUUAGUUUAUCAAGUCAGUCAAAAUGCUACCAGAAAACUCCAACUAUCUCAAAUAAGAAAAGGAGUUACUGGUAAUUCCUCCAAGAUCUCAAUUAUAAAUUAAAAUUCAACAUGCAUAAUAUCAUCAACACCUGCUAGAUUAUUAUUUUUUUUUUAAAUUCAGGUAAGUUAUAGUUCUUGUUUAUAUAUAUUUUGAAAGUGAAGACAAGGGGAAGACGCACUAAAAGGUGAGAAGCAUUCUUGCUAUAUGGUGAGAAAUGAACCAGAAAUAACACCCAAGUAGGAGAAUUAUUU